UCAGUACCGUGAGGGAAAGGCGAAAAGAACCCCGGGAGGGGAGUGAAAUAGAUCCUGAAACCGCAUGCUUACAAAAAGUCGGAGCCCUUUGGGGUGACGGCGUACCUUUUGUAUAAUGGGUCAGCGACUUACAUUCAGUGGCAAGCUUAACCGAGUAGGGAAGGCGCAGGGAAACCGAGUCCGAACAGGGCGAUUUCAGUCGCUGGGUGUAGACCCGAAACCAGGUGAUCUAUCCAUGGCCAGGAUGAAGGUGCCGUAACAGGUACUGGAGGUCCGAACCCACUACUGUUGCAAAAGUAGGGGAUGAGCUGUGGAUAGGGGUGAAAGGCUAAACAAACCUGGAAAUAGCUGGUUCUCUCCGAAAACUAUUUAGGUAGUGCCUCAAGUAUCACCAUCGGGGGUAGAGCACUGUUAUGGCUAGGGGGUCAUCGCGACUUACCAAACCAUUGCAAACUCCGAAUACCAGUACGUACUAUCCGGGAGACACACGGCGGGUGCUAACGUCCGUCGUGAAAAGGGAAACAACCCAGACCCACAGCUAAGGUCCCAAAUUCACUGCUAAGUGGAAAACGAUGUGGAAAGGCAUAGACAGCCAGGAGGUUGGCUUAGAAGCAGCCACCCUUUAAAGAAAGCGUAAUAGCUCACUAGUCGAGUCGGCCUGCGCGGAAGAUGUAACGGGGCUAAAUCAUUCACCGAAGCUGCGGACUUGUGCUUGCACAAGUGGUAGAGGAGCGUUCUGUAAGCCGUUGAAGGUAAACCGGGAGGUUUGCUGGAGGUAUCAGAAGUGCGAAUGCUGACAUGAGUAACGAUAAGGGGAGUGAAAAACUUCCCCGCCGAAAGACCAAGGGUUCCUAUCCCAUGCUAAUCAGGGUAGGGUGAGUCGACUCCUAAGGCGAGGCUGAAAAGCGUAGUCGAUGGGAAACGGGUUAAUAUUCCCGUACUUGGUAAAGCUGCGAUGUGGGGACGGAGCAGGUUAGGUUAGCGUACUGUUGGAUAUGUACGUUUAAGUUGGUAGGUG
rnacentral:rRNA from 1 species